ACGGGAGUAGCUCAGUUGGUAGAGUUCUUGCUUUGGGAGCAAGAUGUCGUCGGUUCGAGUCCGGUCUUCCGUACCA
rnacentral:tRNA from 1 species